CCUACGGGAGGCAGCAGUGGGGAAUAUUGCGCAAUGAGCGAAAGCCUGACGCAGCGACGCCGCGUGAGGGAUGAAGGUCUUCGGAUCGUAAACCUCUGUCAGCAGGGAAGAACGGUCACUGUGCUAAUCAGCAGUGAAUUGACGGUACCUGCAAAGGAAGCACCGGCUAACUCCGUGCCAGCAGCCGCGGUAAUACGGAGGGUGCGAGCGUUAAUCGGAAUUAUUGGGCGUAAGGCGCUCGUAGGCGGUAUGUGUAGUCAAGGGUGAAAUCCCCGGGCUCAACGUGGGAACUGCCUUUGAAACUGGCAAACUAGAGUGUGUGAGAGGAUAGUGGAAUUCCAGGUGAAGGGGUGAAAUCCGUAGAUAUCUGGAAGAACAUCAGAGGCGAAGGCGACUAACUGGCACAUAACUGACGCUGAGGGGCGAAAGCGUGGGUAGCAAACAGGAUUAGAUACCCGGGUAGUC
rnacentral:rRNA from 1 species